CCUACGUGUGGCUGCAGUGAGGAAUAUUGGUCAAUGGCCGUAAGGCUGAACCAGCCAAGUAGCGUGAGGGAAGACUGCCCUAUGGGUUGUAAACCUCUUUUAUGCGGGGAUAAAGGUGUCCACGGGUGGAUGUUUGCAGGUACCGCAUGAAUAAGGACCGGCUAAUUCCGUGCCAGCAGCCGCGCGAAUACGGAGGAUCCGAGCUUUAUCCGGAUUUAUUGGGUUUAAAGGGAGCGUAGAUGGGUUGUUAAGUCAGUUGUGAAAGUUUGCGGCUCAACCGUAAAAUUGCAAUUGAUACUUGCAGUCUUGAGUACAGUUGAUGGAGGCGGAAUUCGUGGUGUAGCGGUGAAAUGCUUAGAUAUCACGAAGAACCCCGAUUGCGAAGGCAGCUUACUAAACUGUGACUGACAUUGAUGCUCGAAAGUGUGGGUAUCAAACAGGAUUAGAUACCCGAGUAGUC
rnacentral:rRNA from 1 species